rnacentral:ncRNA from 1 species
GUAGGUCAAAGGCAAACCAUGUGAAAGCAUGGGACGCAAAGCUAAAGGGGCUUGGCCAAGUGGCCGUGCCAGCCAGCUGCCCGC